rnacentral:lncRNA from 10 species
CGGCGGCGGAGCAGGCUCGACCCGGGCUCGCACUUCCGCUGGCGUCAGGCGGGUGGGCUGCUGCGAUCACUUCCCGGUUGGGGCGCCGAGCUCCGGAGUCGGCCGCCAGCCUUUGGGCCCCACGCUCCGGGUCUGGUGCGCGGUCUGGCCGCGCUCGGGCCCUCGCCAAAUGAGAGCGCAGCGCCUCUCCGCCUUCGGAUCCAGAGAAAGAGCUUGUUGCUGCCUCUAAAAGGUUGGAGCCUUAGUAAGCGGUUCCUGCCUUUCCUGCACAGACCAGACCGCCGGGUGCUGGUCUGCGCUCUGCCGCGCGCCGACUGGGACAGCCCACCCACGAGAUCCUUGUUCCUGAAAUCCCUUUCCUUCCCUCAUCUGCCAAGAAAACUUUCAACUUUUGGGCUCUCCGCGCCUCCCAAGCUUCCUCGAAUCCCUGGGCCCUUGACUGUUCUGCCCUGAUGGCACUUGGUGAGAGAUCCAUUGAGAGCCCUUUCCGUGCCUUCCUGAAUAUUGAUAUGUUUUCCAGCCUCUCCUCCUGCGCUGGCCCAAGGACUCAUUUUCCGUCCCUGCUUCCUCACUAAAAAGAGGGUGCCCAAUAAUUGCUUGUUCCAUACAGAAGGCAGGGAGGCCGUCUCUAGGUUUUCUCCCACUCAGAUCUGCUGUCCUCACAGCCACCUCCCCAAGAGGAAUGAAGGUAUUUCUUUUUUUUUUUUCUUUUUUUUCUCUGAGACGGAGCUUCACUCUGUCGCCCAGGCUGGAGUGCAGUGACGCGAUCUCGGCUCACUGCAACCUCUGCCUCCCGAGUAGCUGGGAUUACAGGCGCCUGCCACCACGCCCGGCUAAUUUUUUGUAUUUUUAGUAGAGACGGGGUUUCACCAUCUUGGCCAGGCUGGUCUCGAACUCCUGACCUCAGGUGAUCCGCCCGCCUCGGCCUCCCAAAGUGCUGGGAUUACAGGCGUGAGCCACCGCGCCCUGCCGGAAUGAAGAUAUUUCUGUUAGUGCGAUUUUUGCGCCAAUCCCUUUGCUCUUUCAAAUAAGCAUUACCGUACCCAUUUUAGCGGUGAGGCAACUGAAGCCCAGAGAGGUUAAAUAACUUGCCCAAAGCCUCACAGCAAAGUUGAGGAAGUAAAACUGGGCCUGGAAUCCACUCGUCUGAUCCCCUGGCACAUGACGCAAGGCUUGACCUUAGAGGGACUCGUUUCCAGACAGAGCUCUGGCAAAGGAGUGUCUUGGGCAGCUUAGGAGUAGAAGAGGAAAGGUGAAUGGAAACCAGGCCUUGGGUUAUGAGCUGCGCAGGAUUUUCCAGCAUCUCAGAUGCAGGCGUUUAGAGAAAGAGAUAUAAUGGAGCAGGCCCUACUCAGAGCCACGAAAAGGAAUGAGGACAGUUGGCUCUAACUCAAAACAAAAAUAGGGUAAACCCAAUCAGUCAAGCGCAGCAACCUGCUCCGUGGCGAUCUGUGACUCAUCAGAAGCUGAGGCUCUCACCAGGACUUUCUAAUGAGCUUCGCUGUUGGCUACGACCGCGGUCACUUCACUUCAGCCCUACUCCUGGCCUGGGGAAAUGGGCAGGCCCCCUAGUAGCUCGGGGUGGGGAGACGGGUGGAGAGGAAGGAGGGGCGAAAAGGGAAGGCGCGAAAUCUACAAAUGUUUAAGCCAGCUGGAACUCCGAUGCCUCUUUGCCUUUUAGGGAAAUUGACUCGACUCGGAACUCGAGGACCUUUCACAAGAGACCACUGGGUUAGGGGGCAGAGCUGGUAAUAGAAUCCAGCGCUCCGAACCCUGAAUCAUGUCCUCUUUUUGCUGCUGAGGCUCAGGCCACAGCACCCCAAAUUAUGACUGUAGAAUACCAAAAUAUGCUAUCCCAAAAUACACUUGUUUGGCACAUUUCAAGCUGGUUAUUCUGAGAAACUGCAGACACGGGAGUAGCUCUGAAAAGCUGUCCUUUUGUAAAGCAAAUUUACAUCUAUAAAGGAAGUCCACAUAGUAAAAGUAUCUGUGUCAGGAAGGCAGCUGCUCAGAGAACUUUUAUUACAUGAGAGACUUUACAUAACAAGGCAACAUUAUUUACCAUACAUUUCCUCCACUAACCCUCCUAUAUCCUACCUGUGGUGCCUCCCCACUGUCCCCACAGAAGCCCCAAGCCCUUAUUUAUUUCUAGCUCAGAAUGCUAUAAGCUUCAAUCAUCUGGCCCUUCAUGUUUUGUGAGAUUCCUGUGCUGCUGCGUAUGCAGGUAAUUAAAACGGUUUUUCUUCUGUUAAUCUGUCUUAUGUCGGCCAGGCGUGGUGGCUCAUGCCUGUAAUCCCAGCACUUUGGGAGGCCGAGGUGGGCGGAUCACGAGGUCAGGAGUUUGAGACCAGCCUGACCAACAUGGUGCAACCCCAUCUCUACUAAAAAUACAAAAGAAGUAGCCGGGCGAGGUGGUGCGCACCUGUAAUCCCAGUUACUCAGAAGCUGAGGCAGGAGAAUCGCUUGAACCCAGGAGGCGGAAGUUGCAGUUAGCCGAGAUUGUGCCACAGCACUCCAGCCUGGGCGACAGAGCAAGAUACCGUCUCAAAAAAAAAAAAAAAAAUCUCUGUUAUGUCAAUUUAAUUUGCAAUCCAAGUAAAGAACCUAGAAGGGUAGAGGGAAGCCAUUUUUCCCUCCCCUACAUUGCUAGUUCCAUGCCAAUGUGAGAGGACUCUGAGAAUGUGGAUGUCUGCCACCUGGAGAAAGAGUCUUAAUAACCUGGGCACUUGGCCAGGCACGGUGGCUCACACCUGUCAUCCCAGCAUUUUCAGAGGCAAAGGUGGGUGGAUCACCUGUGGUUAGGAGUUCAAGACCAGCCUGGCCAACAUGGCGAAACCCUGUCUCUACUAAAAAUACAAAAAUUAGCCAGGCAGGGUGGUGGGCACCUGUAAUUUCAGCUACUCAGGAGGCUGAGGCAGGAGAAUCACUUGAACCCAGGAGGCGGAGGUUGCAGUUAGCCUAGAUGGUGCCAUUGCACCCCAGCCUGGGCAACAAGAGCAAAAUUCUAUCUCAAUAGAUAAAUAAAUAAAUAACCUGGGGACUUGUAGCCUCUAUUGAAAGGUACCAGAAAAGGAUAAAGCCUGAGUUUUCAAGCCAGGAAGUUGCAAAUUCUAACUCUACCAAGAAGUAGCUGGGUGACCUCCAAGCCUCAGUUUCCUCAUCUUCAAAACCAGGUUAAUAGUGUCAGAGGCAUUUGAACCAGAGAGACUCCAUCUUGAAUAGGGACUGGGUAAAAUAAGGCUGUGACCUGCUGGGCUGUAUUCCCAGGAAGUUAAGGCAUUCUUCGAGGAUGAGAUGGUGGGGGUCAGCACAAGAUACAGGUCACAAAGACCUUGCUGGUAAAAUAGGAUGUAGUAAAGGAGCCGGCCAAAACCCAUCAAAAUCAAGAUGGCGACCAAAGUGAGCUCUGGUCGUGCCCACUGCUCAUUAUACACUAAUUAUAAUUCAUUAGCAUGCUAAAAGACACUCCCACCAGCACCAGGACAGUUUACAAACAUCAGGAAGUUACCCUAUAUGGUCUAAAGGAGGAGGAACCCUCAGUUCUGGGAAUUGCCCAUCCCUUUCGCGGAAAACUCAUGAAUAAUCCACCCCUUGUUUAGCAUAUAAUCAAGAAAUAACUAUAAUUAGUUGAGCAGCCCAUGCUGCAGCUCUGCCUAUGGAGUAGCCAUUCUUUACCUCCUUUACUUCUCUAAUAAAUUUGAUUUCACUUUAUGGACUUGCCCCAAAUUCUUUCUUGCGUGAGGUUCAAGAACCCUCUCUUGUGGACUGGAUGAGGACCCCACUCUGGUAACAAUAUACUUUUUGUCCAGUCACAUUUCUACAUGGCUGUCCAUACUCUGUUGAAUGUAAGCAUAAGAAUGGACAAUUUUGCUGUAUCUUUGGAUCUUCAUUCUGAAGGCUCCCAUGGCAUGUAAAACUAUGAUCAAAUAAAUUUGUAUGCCUUUUUUCCUUUUAAUCUGCCUUGUCGGUUGAUUUUCAGUGAAACUUCAGAGGGUAAAGGGGAAGUUUGCCCUUCACCCCUACAUGGUCAAGCUCAAGAUACCAAAAGACAUCAGCUGAAAAUUCAAUCAACUUGCCUGAAUCAUCCACCCCAAGCUUAGGAAGCAUGCUUGAACCCACCUGGCCAAGGCUGGUUUUGCCGGCCAAAGUCCAAGGCCAAGGCUCCAACCAAAGCCCAGACUUCAGUUGCAGCUCCAGUUCCAGUUCCAGUUCCAGCUCCAGUUCCAGUUCCAGUUCCAGCUCCAGAUCAAAUUUCCAAGGGUGCCCAUGCACACCCACAAAGGAUCUGGAGGAGAGGCCUCUGUCUACCAAUGGGAGGACAGAAGGACUGGUGUGAGCCCUGGGCUGCCAUCUGUUUCUGCAUGGAGCUGGUACCAUUCUUUUCUAUUUAUACAAACAAACAUGAGGCAGGAUCUGUCCAUUAAAAAAAAGAGGCCGGGCACAGUGGCUCAUGCCUAUAAUCCCAGCAUUUUAGGAGGCCGAGGUGGGUAAAUCACCUGAGGUUGGGAGUUCGAGACCAGCCUGGCCAAUAUGGUGAAACCUCUUCUCUACUAAAAAUACAAAAAUUAGCCGAGCGUCGCGGCACAUCUUUAAUCCCAGCUCCUCAGGAGGCUGAGGCACAAGAAUCACUUGAACCCAGGAGGUGGAGGUUGCAGUAAGCCGAGAAAACACCACUACACUCCAGCCUAGGCGACAGAAUGAGGCUCCAUCUUGAAAAGAAAAAGAAAAUUAAAAAGAAACAGUCUAUACAGGCUCAUUCCCUUUCCCCACUCAGAGUUUUUUCAAAGGAAUGUGGCCAGAUCUGGAGGUUUACCUGCCUUCUGGCUCUGAGGACUUUGCAGUUACUAUUUAAGGUCUGGUUAAUAGCUUCCUUUGCAUCGUGGUUGGUUAACAAGAGUAG